UCCAAUCGCGCGGGAGAGAUCGGCCAAAAGAGCCGGCGCCGAAGGAGCAACCGCCCCGGAAACUCUCAGGCAAACGGACCGCGCGAUCGAU
rnacentral:ncRNA from 2 species